rnacentral:rRNA from 1 species
AUUGAACGCUGGCGGCAGGCUUAACACAUGCAAGUCGAGCGGGGUGAUGGUGCUUGCACAUCACUUAGCGGCGGACGGGUGAGUAAUGCUUAGGAAUCUGCCUAUUAGUGGGGGACAACAUCUCGAAAGGGAUGCUAAUACCGCAUACGUCCUACGGGAGAAAGCAGGGGGUCACUUGUGACCUUGCGCUAAUAGAUGAGCCUAAGUCGGAUUAGCUAGUUGGUGGGGUAAAGGCCUACCAAGGUGACGAUCUGUAGCGGGUCUGAGAGGAUGAUCCGCCACACUGGGACUGAGACACGGCCCAGACUCCUACGGGAGGCAGCAGUGGGGAAUAUUGGACAAUGGGGGGAACCCUGAUCCAGCCAUGCCGCGUGUGUGAAGAAGGCCUUAUGGUUGUAAAGCACUUUAAGCGAGGAGGAGGCUCUUUUGGUUAAUACCCAAGAUGAGUGGACGUUACUCGCAGAAUAAGCACCGGCUAACUCUGUGCCAGCCGCCGCCGUAA